rnacentral:sRNA from 1 species
AGGAGAUGUUGGCACACCUGAAACCAUGGCCCCCACCAUUGUGGUUCCCCCGGGCAACAGAAGUGUGGUGGCUGGAUCCAGUGAGACCACCUUGGAAUGCAUAGCCAAUGCUAGGCCUGUGGAGGACCUGAGUGUGACCUGGAAGAGGAAUGGAGUGAGAAUCACCAGUGGCCUCCACAGCUUUGGAAGACGCCUCACCAUCAGCAACCCGACGUCCGCGGACACCGGACCCUACGUCUGCGAGGCGGCGCUGCGGGGGAGCGCUUUUGAACCGGCCAGGGCAAAGGCCUUUCUUUUCAUCAUAGGUAAUGCCCGAGCCUCUGAGUGGUGUUGUCAGCAUCUCAGAUAGCAUCCGACACUGACUCUUCUUCAGAAACAAAAUAGCAUAUUUCAGUGGCUUUAUUUGUAACUCGGCAAAUGAAGGUGAGGUUGAGUUUAUCUUCCAAAUCCUUCCUAGACUUGUUUCCCAAGAAUGUAAGUCCGUUAAAUCCAAA